rnacentral:sRNA from 2 species
UUGACUCUCAAAUGAGAAUCGUUAUGAUUAUCACAACUGAUCGCGAGAUCAGCCGAUAACUGAAAGACCAUUGGUUCGGACUCUCAGAUUAUCUCCUCAUCAGGCUAAUCACGGUUAUUUGACCCGGCUCUUGCCGGGUCUUUUUUUG